rnacentral:rRNA from 1 species
AUUGAACGCUGGCGGCAUGCCUUACACAUGCAAGUCGAACGGUAACAGGUCUUCGGAUGCUGACGAGUGGCGAACGGGUGAGUAAUACAUCGGAACGUGCCCAGACGUGGGGGAUAACGAGGCGAAAGCUUUGCUAAUACCGCAUACGAUCUAAGGAUGAAAGCAGGGGACCGCAAGGCCUUGCGCGGUUGGAGCGGCCGAUGGCAGAUUAGGUAGUUGGUGGGAUAAAAGCUUACCAAGCCGACGAUCUGUAGCUGGCCUGAGAGGACGACCAGCCACACUGGGACUGAGACACGGCCCAGACUCCUACGGGAGGCAGCAGUGGGGAAUUUUGGACAAUGGGCGAAAGCCUGAUCCAGCAAUGCCGCGUGCAGGAUGAAGGCCUUCGGGUUGUAAACUGCUUUUGUACGGAACGAAAAGGCUCUGGCUAAUACCUGGGGCACAUGACGGUACCGUAAGAAUAAGCACCGGCUAACUACGUGCCAGCCGCCGCGGUAA